GACGCGCCGUGUAUCACGCACGCUAUCUUCGCACGACCGCACCGUUCGCCCGCCGAACUUUCGAUCGUGAUUUUUAUCGCGCCACGUUUUACGCGCGUUACCGGAGUACCGCGACACCGCUCCGGACAGUGCCGACAUUCGACCACCCGUCAACGAUAAUGCGGUUAAACGCCACGCGAUCCGGACCCCCGAGGCCAGCGCGCGUUUGAACCCGUCGAAUACUUAGCCGUGUGUGUUUUUUUUUUUA